rnacentral:lncRNA from 1 species
GGCCCCACUAAUCCCCACUUAAUCCCGUGUUUGGUUUGAUGUAUUGCCUAUUACAGGCCUAUUACAACACGGAUGUAUUCCUCAUUUUCUCUGCUUCAACAACGAUUAGCCAUUCCGUUCCAAAAGUAAGGAUUAGCUAAUCGUCUCUGUUUUACCCUCCCCAGCCAAAAUCUGCUGCUCCACCCCACCCUCUCCCUCCCAACAUCAACAGCAGUUUUCUUCGAACCAAAU